UGGGGAAUUUUGGACAAUGGGGGAAACCCUGAUCCAGCCAUCCCGCGUGUGCGAUGAAGGCCUUCGGGUUGUAAAGCACUUUUGGCAGGAAAGAAACGUCGCGGGUUAAUACCCCGCGAAACUGACGGUACCUGCAGAAUAAGCACCGGCUAACUACGUGCCAGCAGCCGCGGUAAUACGUAGGGUGCAAGCGUUAAUCGGAAUUACUGGGCGUAAAGCGUGCGCAGGCGGUUCGGAAAGAAAGAUGUGAAAUCCCAGAGCUUAACUUUGGAACUGCAUUUUUAACUACCGGGCUAGAGUGUGUCAGAGGGAGGUGGAAUUCCGCGUGUAGCAGUGAAAUGCGUAGAUAUGCGGAGGAACACCGAUGGCGAAGGCAGCCUCCUGGGAUAACACUGACGCUCAUGCACGAAAGCGUGGGGAGCAAACAGGAUUAGAUACCCUGGUAGUCCACGCCC
rnacentral:rRNA from 1 species